rnacentral:sRNA from 1 species
UGACUCCGAUACUGGAGUUCGCUCUAAAC